CGGGACGGGUGAGUAACGCGUGGAAAACCUGCCGUAUACUGGGGGAUAACACUUAGAAAUAGGUGCUAAUACCGCAUAAGCGCACAGCUUCGCAUGAAGCAGUGUGAAAAACUCCGGUGGUAUACGAUGGUUCCGCGUCUGAUUAGCUAGUUGGUGAGGUAAAAGCCCACCAAGGCAACGAUCAGUAGCCGGCCUGAGAGGGUGAACGGCCACAUUGGGACUGAGACACGGCCCAGACUCCUACGGAAGGCAGCAG
rnacentral:rRNA from 1 species